UACGUAGGCGGCAUAGUUAGUCGGUUGUUAAAGCACCGGGCUCAACCCGGGACAGGCAACCGAAACGGCUAAGCUAGAGGAUGUGAGAGGUAAGUGGAACUCAUGGUGUAGGGGUGAAAUCCGUUGAUAUCAUGGGGAACACCAAAAGCGAAGGCAACUUACUGGCACAUUCCUGACGCUGAGGUACGAAAGCGUGGGUAGCGAAUG
rnacentral:rRNA from 1 species